rnacentral:rRNA from 1 species
UAGGGAAUCUUCGGCAAUGGACGGAAGUCUGACCGAGCAACGCCGCGUGAGUGAAGAAGGUUUUCGGAUCGUAAAGCUCUGUUGUUAGAGAAGAACGUUGGUAGGAGUGGAAAAUCUACCAAGUGACGGUAACUAACCAGAAAGGGACGGCUAACUACGUGCCAGCAGCCGCGGUAAUACGUAGGUCCCGAGCGUUGUCCGGAUUUAUUGGGCGUAAAGCGAGCGCAGGCGGUUCUUUAAGUCUGAAGUUAAAGGCAGUGGCUUAACCAUUGUCCGCUUUAGAAACUGGAGGACUUGAGUGCAGAAGGGGAGAGUAGAAUUCCAUGUGUAGCGGUGAAAUGCGUAGAUAUAUGGAGGAACACCGGUGGCGAAAGCGGCUCUCUGGUCUGUAACUGACGCUGAAGCUCGAAAGCGUGGGGAGCAAACAGG